GACGAACGCUGGCGGCGUGCUUAACACAUGCAAGUCGAACGGAAAGGCCCUGCUUUUGUGGGGUGCUCGAGUGGCGAACGGGUGAGUAACACGUGAGUAACCUGCCCUUGACUUUGGGAUAACUUCAGGAAACUGGGGCUAAUACCGGAUAGGAGCUCCUGCUGCAUGGUGGGGGUUGGAAAGUUUCGGCGGUUGGGGAUGGACUCGCGGCUUAUCAGCUUGUUGGUGGGGUAGUGGCUUACCAAGGCUUUGACGGGUAGCCGGCCUGAGAGGGUGACCGGCCACAUUGGGACUGGGAUACGGCACAGACUCCUACGGGAGGCAGCAGUGGGGAAUAUUGCACAAUGGGCGGAAGCCUGAUGCGGCAACGCCGCGUGCGGGAUGACGGCCUUCGGGUUGUAAACCGCUUUCGCCUGUGACGAAGCGUGAGUGACGGUAAUGGGUAAAGAAGCACCGGCUAACUACGUG
rnacentral:rRNA from 1 species